rnacentral:rRNA from 1 species
UACAGAGGGGUGCAAGCGUUUAAUCGGAAUUACUGGGCGUAAAGCGCGCGUAGGUGGUUCGUUAAGUUGGAUGUGAAAUCCCCGGGCUCAACCUGGGAACUGCAUUCAAAACUGACGAGCUAGAGUAUGGUAGAGGGUGGUGGAAUUUCCUGUGUAGCGGUGAAAUGCGUAGAUAUAGGAAGGAACACCAGUGGCAAAGGCGACCACCUGGACGUGAUACUGACACUGAGGUGCGAAAGCAUGGGGAGCGAACAGGA